rnacentral:rRNA from 1 species
UACUCCAUAGUUUGUGCUGACUGGAAUGUUACGCAAACGAAAGAUCCGUCGCUUUAGGAUGAGUCUGCGGCCGAUUAGGUAGUUGUUGGGGUAACGGCCCAACAAGCCUGUCAUCGGUACGGGUUGUGGGAGCAAGAGCCCGGAGAUGGAUUCUGAGACACGAAUCCAGGCCCUACGGGGCGCAGCAGGCGCGAAAACUUUACCAUGCGGGCAACCGUGAUAAGGAAACCCCGAGUGCCAGCACAGGCUGGCUGUCCGCCAGUGUAAAUAACUGGUGAAGAAAGGGCCGGGCAAGACCGGUGCCAGCCGCCGCGGUAAUACCGGCGGCUCGAGUGGUGGCCGCUAUUACUGGGCUUAAAGGGUCCGUAGCUGGAUGUACAAGUCCCUUGAGAAAUCCGCCGGCUUAACUGGCGGGCGUUCAGGGGAAACUGUAUUUCUAGGGACCGGGAGAGGUGGGAGGUACUGCCGGGGUAGGAGUGAAAUCCUGUAAUCCCGGUGGGACCACCUAUGGCGAAGGCAUCUCACCAGAACGGGUCCGACAGUGAGGGACGAAAGCUGGGGGAGCAAACCGGAUUAGAUACCCGGGUAGUCCCAGCUGUAAACGAUGCGCGUUAGGUGUGUCAGUGACCA